rnacentral:rRNA from 1 species
GAUGAACGCUGGCGGCGUGCCUAAUACAUGCAAGUCGAGCGAAUGGAUUAAGAGCUUGCUCUUAUGAAGUUAGCGGCGGACGGGUGAGUAACACGUGGGUAACCUGCCCAUAAGACUGGGAUAACUCCGGGAAACCGGGGCUAAUACCGGAUAACAUUUUGAACCGCAUGGUUCGAAAUUGAAAGGCGGCUUCGGCUGUCACUUAUGGAUGGACCCGCGUCGCAUUAGCUAGUUGGUGCGGUAACGGCUCACCAAGGCAACGAUGCGUAGCCGACCGGAGAGGGUGAUCGGCCACACUGGGACUGAGACGCGGCCCAGACUCCUACGGGAGGCAGCAGUAGGGAAUCUUCCGCAAUGGACGAAAGUCUGACGGAGCAACGCCGCGUGAGUGAUGAAGGCUUUCGGGUCGUAAAACUCUGUUGUUAGGGAAGAACAAGUGCUAGUUGAAUAAGCUGGCACCUUGACGGUACCUAACCAGAAAGCCACGGCUAACUACGUGCCAGCAGCCGCCGUAA